AAGCCGAUAUCAAACAGUUAAAA
rnacentral:sRNA from 1 species